rnacentral:tRNA from 1 species
GCCGGGAUGGCGGAACUGGUAGACGCGCCAGACUCAAAAUCUGGUGAGGGAAACCUCGUGAGAGUUCGAGUCUCUCUCCCGGCACCA